UAAGUUUGCAGAGGCCUUUCUCCGUGGGGACCAGGGGUAUAUUAACUGCCCUUCAGUUCAUGAAGAAAGAGAAAGACUUGCAAUUUUGCUCUUCACUUCACUUGAAAGGUCAGGCAUUUGUGGUGUCUGCAAUAAAGCUGUUGCUAAGAGCAAGGCAAGUUAUCAAAAGUCUCAAAUUAUGUUUCGUAUAAAAAAUUACCUUUGCAAAUGAGUGUCUUUUAAAAAACAUGUAGGCCAAAUGUUCGACAUGUGGCGUGAGAGUACAUGAGAAAUGUGUGCAAAACAACCAGGAGACUGCCCUUUGUUUUCUGUGCAAAGUACAAAGUGAAACAACAUCAGAACAUGAAGAAAACAAACAAGCAGAGACUGCCAAACGCAUAGAUGAGGAAGUGGUGGAGAGAGGUUAAGCAAAUA